rnacentral:rRNA from 1 species
UACGGGGGGGGCAAGCGUUGUUCGGAAUUACUGGGCGUAAAGCGCACGUAGGCGGCUUUGCAAGUUAGAGGUGAAAGCCCGGGGCUCAACUCCGGAAUUGCCUUUAAAACUGCAUCGCUAGAGUUGUGGAGAGGUAAGUGGAAUUCCGAGUGUAGAGGUGAAAUUCGUAGAUAUUCGGAAGAACACCAGUGGCGAAGGCGACUUACUGGACACAUACUGACGCUGAGGUGCGAAAGCGUGGGGAGCAAACAGG